CUCUCCCUUCCCCCUCCCCUGAAACUAAAAGGAAUGUUCAAAGCCUGUUUUUCUGUGACCAGCAGACCUUAUCUAUGCUCCCAAUUCCAAUUCCUUGUAAACACAGUUUGUACAAUCCUGAGAGAUCCUGUCUCCUUUGCCAUGCCGCUGCAAGGUCAUAAAGUAGAUAAAACUUAAGUUGCAAUUCCGGUUUUCCUCAAGAUCUGAGACAUGUUAAUUGUCUUUGUUUCUCGCUCUGGUAACAUCUUCCCGCUGCACAUAUUUCCCGCCUUAAAGAGUUUAAAAGGUGAUCAAAAAAUCUAACACUGGCCACCCGCUCGGGACACCUUCCACGCUGUGGAAGCUUUGUACUGUCAUUCUGCUCAGUAAAGCCUACAGCCUUUUUUCUCUCGGUCGGGUCCACGUCUCUCUCUCUUGCCGCGGGCUGCCGCCACCCCAACCCUUUGGCGUGGCUAAGGCAACAACCUUUGGUGUUACCCUGGUUUGCAAAGAGGAAUGCCCUCUCCAAACAUGCCUAUCGAAUAAGGUCCUGUUCAUGAUGCAAAUCUCUAUGUGAUCUUCCUCCGGAAUUCUUGAGCCCAUUCCUGGAACUGUGUGAUAACUUGCCCAGAAAAUCUUCUUGUGGAAUCUGUCUUUACAUGGAAAAGACUUGGCAAUAUUUGUACAGCAACUGGAAGAAAGGUCUUUGCUGAGAUAUACAAAGAGGCAGAAUGUGUGUGGAUCACCGAUUAGACAAGGCGAAUAGGAGCAGAAUAGAAGAGGAAUGGAAUAGAACUCAAGAGCAACACUCAUUAGAACGGCCAAUAUCCAAAACACUGGCAACACCAAAUGUGGCAAGGAUGCGAAAUAGCAGUAGCUCUCAUUCAUUGCUGGUGGAAAUGCAAAAUGAUACAGACCCUUUGCAAAACGGUUCAGCAACUUCAUAGGAAAAGAGUAUGCUGAGUGUUGUUCUAUCUCAUUGUUGCUUUAAUUUGCAGUACUCUAAAUAUACAUAAUGUUGAACAUCUUUUCAUGUGCUUAAUUGCCAUCUGUGUAUCUUCUUCUGUCAGAUGUCUGUCCAGAUGAUUGGAUUUUUAAUAUAAUAAUUAUGUAUCUUUAAUAUAGAUUAUGUUUACAUUGUUUAAAGUAAGUGAAAUAUAUUUAAAAAAAUGCAGAUCCAAAAGUUUUGGAACCUAUAAAAAAAUCCACAGAAAUCCAUAGAAAGAGUUUUAAAAACACAGAGCUAGAAAACCUCUGUUAUUUCCAAUUUUCAUCUUCUAGGAUUCAAAGACAUUGGAUAGAUAGAGGGAAGCAGGUUUUCUUGACAUGUUUGUAUUAUGGCCAAGUUUGAUAAAAAUAAAUCCAUUCCAAAAAGCAAAAGGAAUGCAAAGCAAUCUAGUUGCAAGGUAUACAGUUAGUCCUCCGAAUAUUCUGACUUUGAAUUUGGUAAGAAUUUCUUCUUAUUAGUAAGAAAAGUAUUCAUAGCUGUAUUCUCAAUCAGCCUUUGCUGCAGUCACUCUUCAGAGUUUUUAUUCUUGUCUUUGUCUGUGGAGCCUGAAAGAAUUACGCCUAUAAAUAAGGUAGAAAGUUCUACUGGUUAGAAGUAGAUAAACAGAUUACAUGCUUAUCUCUGUGGUAUGUCAGCACCCUACAAAUUGGGGAAUUGAAUAGAUCCAUGUUCAAACAAGAAGUUUGCUCUACAUUUCUACUCUAUUCUGUUCUCAGAAAUUAAAUUGUAAUAGACAUUUAAAAAGUAGUGGUUGUACAGAUCAGUAUUUUACUGAUUCUUAGAGAGUAGAUUUUAAUCAAAUAUGCCUUUCUUUGAUUUUAAAAAGGAGAGAGCAAAAGCCCAUUGAAAAGAAAAAAAAUUCCAUCUUCUACUAUUACUAUAGUUAUAAAGUUGGAUAAUAAUUAAUAAACAGCCCUUGGGGAAGUUUUAUGCAUUGCAUUAAUAUAAUUUUUCUCAAACUAUGCAUGCAGUGAUUCACAGUGAGAGUGACGUGCCUCUGGUGAAUUUUGAAACUUCAAACAUGCUGAUUGGGGAAAACUUCCCUAGUGAUUCCAGCAUAUAUUUAAUUGCAUAUGUCUAUGGUCUUUUUUAAAAAAAUGUUGUCUUUUGGAAUCCCAUGAUAGCUUUUCAGCAAAAAAUCCUCCUGAUUACUUGACCAUCUAGUUUUUCCUAUUUGUAUUAGAAGUACAAACAGUAGGGAUUAUAUAACUGUGCUUUGGGAUAAGACUUCAGCAAGGACAUUGCACCUGAUCUUUUCAAGGUUAUUUCUGGCUGCAUAACAAAUUGCUUCAAAACUUAAUGGAUUAAAAUAACUAUUCUAUUUCUCUCAUACUUUGAGGGCUCAGGAAGUCUCCAGAUUGCUGAGCCUAUCAUCAUCAACUGAAGAUUUGCCUGGGCUGCAACAUUCAAGCUCUCUCACUCUCACAGCUGGUAACAAAUUGCUGGCUGUUCUGGGGCACCUUCGUGUGGCCUCUCCAUGGGUAAUGGGAGUCUCACAGCAUGACAACUUUGUUCCAAGACAGGUGUCCCAAGAGGGAGCAGCUAAAAGGCAAAUAUUCAAGGAAAUCAAAGAAAAAGCUGCCAGGUGUCUUCUAACUUCAUCUCAGAUAUCUCACUGUAUGGUUAUAAGUGAGUCACAUUCAAAAGAAGAAGAAAUUGUCCCCCUCUGCCAACGGGAAAAAUGCCAAAGAGUUUAAAGUCAUCUUUAUUGCAUCACAUACAGUGUUUCUUAAAUGGCAACUUGGUCAUUCAGUAUUGGCCAAUUUCGCUGGGGAAUUAUCAAUGUUCCAUCCACAUCUUGUUAUAGCAGUGUCAAAAAUAUUUCCUAUGUCAACCUCCCCUCUAGUUUCCCAGCUCACUUUAUAUACCUUAAAAUAUCUAAAAAUGUAACCAACAAAGCUUAUUGUAGAAAGUCUGAACACAGAAAAACAGAUUAAAAAUAUACCUUGCUUCUAAUCUCAUUAUUUAGUGAUAUCCAUAUUUUGCCAUUUUAGCAUAAACAUUCAAGUUUAUAUAAUUUUGUUAAAUUGCUUUUUCA